rnacentral:rRNA from 1 species
UACAGAGGUGGCAAGCGUUGUUCGGAAUUACUGGGCGUAAAGGGCGAGUAGGUGGCCAUCUAAGUCAGACGUGAAAUCCCCCGGCUUAACCUGGGAACUGCGUCUGAUACUGGACGGCUUGAGUAUGGGAGAGGGAUGUAGAAUUCCAGGUGUAGCGGUGAAAUGCGUAGAUAUCUGGAGGAAUACCGGUGGCGAAGGCGGCAUCCUGGACCAUUACUGACACUGAUCCGCGAAAGCGUGGGUAGCAAACAGGG